rnacentral:ncRNA from 1 species
AUAUUUGGCGCAGAUUCACUCCACUCUAUGGACUGCGCACAAUAAAAAGGAGGUAUGUCCCUGCCGCGUGGCUCGCGGUGCGGCAGUGUGGAGACCUGUCGUAAUGCGUCACGUCCCUUGCGGGCGGACGCGAGGCGGAUGCGGGUGGGCCGCUCUGCCAGAGCUGAGAGCAUGUCC